CGUACACUCCUGCGGGAGGCAGCAGUGGGGAAUAUUGGACAUUGGGCGCAAGCCUGAUCCAGCCAUGCCGCGUGAGUGAUGAAGGCCCUAGGGUUGUAAAGCUCUUUCACCGGUGAAGAUAAUGACGGUAACCGGAGAAGAAGCCCCGGCUAACUUCGUGCCAGCAGCCGCGGUAAUACGAAGGGGCCUAGCGUUGUUCGGAUUUACUGGGCGUAAAGCGCACGUAGGCGGACUAUUAAGUCAGGGGUGAAAUCCCGGGGCUCAACCCCGGAACUGCCUUUGAUACUGGUAGUCUUGAGUUCGAGAGAGGUGAGUGGAAUUCCGAGUGUAGAGGUGAAAUUCGUAGAUAUUCGGAGGAACACCAGUGGCGAAGGCGGCUCACUGGCUCGAUACUGACGCUGAGGUGCGAAAGCGUGGGGAGCAAACAGGAUUAGAAACCCGAGUAGUCCCAUG
rnacentral:rRNA from 1 species